UACGAACUGUGCAAACGUUAUUCGGAUUCACUGGGCUUAAAGGGUGCGUAGGCGGCCAUGUAAGUAGGGUGUGAAAUCCCCCCGGCUUAACCGGGGGAACUGCGCCCCUAAAACUGUGUGGGCUGGAGUGAGAUAGGGGUGUGUGGAACUUCCGGUGGAGCGGUGAAAUGUGUUGAUAUCGGAAGGAACGCCGGUGGCGAAAGCGAGCCCCUGGACGUCUACUGACGCUGAGACGCGAAAGCCAGGGGAGCGA
rnacentral:rRNA from 1 species